rnacentral:misc_RNA from 1 species
AAAACAAUCAAGAAGCUUAGCUUCUCCUACAGUGAGUAUCCCUCUAGGCCUACACUUCCUCUUGUCAGUGACCCCCGACACAACAUGGCCAGCACCAUAACAAACUGGGGUGAUUGUUUUCGUUGUCGCNNAUCAUAGAUGACCCGCAUUGUAUCUCUGGAGAUACUGAGGCCUGAACUGGAGGCGUCUUACUAUUACUACUUGUUGUGUUUGUGUUAAUAUUAGUUUUAGUGUUUGAUUUCUCGUCAUCACCAUCCUCAUUUCUAACCUUAUUGUCGACUACGAGAUUCAAACCCGACCCAUAUGCCACCUUAUUUAAAGAAGUCGAAUUUGAUCCAUCACAGUCUCUAACUCCAUCAACUACUACCUGUUUCAAC